ensembl:rRNA 5S_rRNA 5S ribosomal RNA
UGCAAGAGCCAUAUCACGCUGCAGCCCAAGGCCGGUUUACUCACUGAACCUAAGUAGGACUGAGACUGGUCAGUACCUAAAUAGGAGACCACAUGGGAAAACUAGCUUGCGGUUGGAA